CAUAUAUAGUGCAUGCAAGAAAAUGUGGAGCAGUUCAAUAACUUGCGUUGUAGCCAGGCUCUUGUGUGUGUGUGCGUGUGUGUGAGUGUGUGAGAGAGAGAAGGGGGGUUGCAUGCAUGUGGGAAUGUGUGUGCUUGUUUACCUAUGUAGAAGCACGGAAGGAGAGAGAGGGAGGGAGGGCGAGAGAGAGAAAGAGAGAGAGAGAGAUUUGUAAGGUACUCGUAUUUGCAAACUACUGGCUCAGUUCCCACUAGAAGCAGGGAGAUCAGACUAAAAGACUGUGUGUGUCAGGAGUGUGUUUUCGCAAGUGUGUGUGUGUGUGUGUGUGUGUGUGUGUGUGUGUGUGUGUGUGUGUGUGAGAGUCUGGGAGAGACACAGAGAGAGACAGGCAGACAGACAGAGAGGAACCCGUUCAACCCAUUUUAGCAGCAACUUUUGUUGCCUGUCUACAUGAGGUUUCUCCCCGAAUAUGGAAGCUUUUCUCUCUCGCGCGUUUGAUUUUUGUUUUUCUACCAUCCAGUCACCACAGAUUCAUGCUGCCGAACUUUUGGCCACGCUUUAGGCUGAAGGUGAAAGAAGCACAGGCUCGGUAGAGGCAGAUGAGAGUUUUGUUGGUAGUUCUGGAGAAGGUGAGGAUGCUGACAAUGAUGAUGGAGUUCACCAUGUCUGCAGGGCUAUUUAGGGAAACCCAAACCUUUGCAUCACCGCCUCUCCUCGCUCCUGUUGGCUUCUCAUCAACCUCAUUUGAACCUCCACAUCAACAUGGGUGGUAACACGUCUUGGCAUGGAGUUGCUCCGCACAGGCCAAGAGAAACACAGAAGCACACACACACACACACACACGCACACACACAGGAUAGUGAUAUUCACAGCACGCAGUUAUAUCUAGCUUGUCUUUCUUAGUGACGAUUAGCAUUACAAAGUUCACAUUUUCCAUUGUUUGAACCAUCUGUUGACAGCUGAAGUGGACAUAUAAAACACUGACAGGUCUGACAUCAUAGCAGGCUUACAAAAUAAAAAUUAUAUAUAUAUAUAUAUAUAUAUAUCAGAUUUGAAUUGCAGACAUUUUAAUAUAUGGGUUGGAUGGGAACCAACAAGCGAGAGACAGGCGAGCGUUUCUGUGAUUUUCCACUUGUCUGAGUCAAACAGCAACGAUAAAGAGAGGCUGAAAAUAAACUUCGUAGCUUGAUUUUUGUUACUCAUAUGUUGCUUAUGUUGAUAUUCUCUGACAAGUCAAAUAGUUGUCAUUAAUCAAACAAACCAACGGUGAGACACACAGUCCUUCCUGGUGCCCACGGUGAACAUUCAACGCUGUCGGUGAGUUUGAGCUCUGACCAAAACCAUCGACCGUUGACUGUACCCUGAGGGAUGCCGCAGCACAUUUGCACAUGAUCUUCUGGAAGCCAUACAUCGUCAGUUAUUUCAGUUCUGCUCUCAUCCAGAGCAAAAUGCAGAACCACAGUCUGUGGGUGGACUACGCAUCAAACCUGUGACCUUCAGUUUGCUGAAAAGGCCGGGACACAUUUCAUCAGACACCAGAUCAGGUGUGACACAGGAGGCAGUCACUCUUAAGGCUGCAAUAAACAUUCAUUGCUGUCGGUGGGUUUACAUGAGAAUAACUCACUGAUCAAUGAAUGCAGACUGCGGUUCAAACACCUCAGUAACCACUUGGCCAUAGGAUUUGAUGAUGUGUACCCAAAGACUUGAUACAACAGGUGGUACAAUAACGUGGAAAAUUAAGGUAAACCAAAAUUUUGCAUGGCCAAGGCUGGUAAAUACAAGCAUUCUGUGUGCAGUGUACUGAUGUCACCGUGCUGGAUAUCUUAGCAUUGAAGUUCAGAUUUUUCAAAUACCAUUUCAAUUACCAUUAGCUGUCCUACCAACAUUUACAAGUUUACAGUGUUGCUUUAAACUUAAUUUAAAAGGAUUAGUUCAGCCAAAUUAAAUAAAACAUUUUCUCACUCAUAACUGGUGGUGUCUAGACAAGUAGCUAGUUUUAGUUUUAUUUGUCCAUGUUUUGAGAUAUUCAGCUCUGAGAGUUUCAAUAUAAUGGAAGUGAAGGCAAAAUUUUGAUAUUUGAAAAAUUCAACAUUAACAUCUCAUUCCAGAAAUACUGUCUCCCUGAUAAUCCAAAGAACAUUCUGUCAACAGUUUUUAUAGUGACUAUUUCUUCAGUAGAAAGUAGUUCAAAUGGAAACUAUUCACAGUAAGGUCUGUAGAUUAUCCAGAGUAUAGUCAUUUUUUAAUGCUGUGAGCACCACAAACAAGAUUCCAUUCACCGUCAUUGUAUUAGGGUGGAAAUCUCAAAAUCUGAAUAAAUAACACCAGAACUAUCUGCAUGACUAGAUACCAAAAGUGGCAAGUGAUAAAAUGUCUAUUUUGUAAUGUGGGUAAAUCAUAUGCACCUUACAUUAUAACAGUCCAAACAGCAAAAACAUAUCUUUGACCAGAAUUCAGACAUGAUGUUCUAAUACGACACCUUAGUUUUGGUACUGAUAUCAAAAUGAUACCUUUUUCGAUACAUUUUGAGAAAUACAAGCAGCUGUACAUGAACUUUGCCUAAAUAAACUAGCAUACAAUUGGUAACUUUUUUUUAUUUAAAUCAGGAACUAUCUGAAAAAAGGUAAACAAGAAGACAAAUCUGAACAGACUUUUUCCCAGUCUUACUUGACACUUCAAAAAGUAUUAAGGUUUGGGCCUAAAUGAAAUGUAAGUUACUGUGUAGUAAAUGGGAUAAAACAGAAAAAACAAUAUGGACCUAAAAAGCCUCCCAGAAUGCAUUUCUCAUUGACUGUUGUUGUCUUAAUAUCUUUAUAUCAAUUCAAGAAAAGUAAUAAAAAUUACAAUUAGCAUAAUAUCCUAAUUUGAA